ACCCGCUGAACUUAAGCAUAUCAAUAAGCGGAGGAAAGGAAACCAACAGGGAUUGCCCUAGUAACGGCGAGUGAAGCGGCAACAGCUCAAAUUUGAAAUCUGGCGUCUUUGGCGUCCGAGUUGUAAUUUGCAGAGGGCGCUUUGGCAUUGGCAGCGGUCCAAGUUCCUUGGAACAGGACGUCACAGAGGGUGAGAAUCCCGUACGUGGUCGCUAGCCUUUACCGUGUAAAGCCCCUUCGACGAGUCGAGUUGUUUGGGAAUGCAGCUCUAAAUGGGAGGUAAAUUUCUUCUAAAGCUAAAUACUGGCCAGAGACCGAUAGCGCACAAGUAGAGUGAUCGAAAGAUGAAAAGCACUUUGGAAAGAGAGUUAAAAAGCACGUGAAAUUGUUGAAAGGGAAGCGCUUGCAGCCAGACUUGCCUGUAGUUGCUCAUCCGGGUUUCUACCCGGUGCACUCUUCUAUAGGCAGGCCAGCAUCAGUUUGGGCGGUUGGAUAAAGGUCUCUGUCAUGUACCUCUCUUCGGGGAGAACUUAUAGGGGAGACGACAUGCAACCAGCCUGGACUGAGGUCCGCGCAUCUGCUAGGAUGCUGGCGUAAUGGCUGU
rnacentral:rRNA from 1 species